rnacentral:tRNA from 1 species
GCCUGGGUGGCUCAGUCGGUUAAGCGUCCGACUUCAACUCAGGUCAUGAUCUCACAGUUUGUGGGUUCAAGCCCCACAUCAGGCU